rnacentral:rRNA from 4 species
UUAAUUUGAGAGUUUGAUCCUGGCUCAGGACGAACGCUGGCGGCGUGCCUAAUACAUGCAAGUCGAACGAACUCUGGUAUUGAUUGGUGCUUGCAUCAUGAUUUACAUUUGAGUGAGUGGCGAACUGGUGAGUAACACGUGGGAAACCUGCCCAGAAGCGGGGGAUAACACCUGGAAACAGAUGCUAAUACCGCAUAACAACUUGGACCGCAUGGUCCGAGUUUGAAAGAUGGCUUUGGCUAUCACUUUUGGAUGGUCCCGCGGCGUAUUAGCUAGAUGGUGGGGUAACGGCUCACCAUGGCAAUGAUACGUAGCCGACCUGAGAGGGUAAUCGGCCACAUUGGGACUGAGACACGGCCCAAACUCCUACGGGAGGCAGCAGUAGGGAAUCUUCCACAAUGGACGAAAGUCUGAUGGAGCAACGCCGCGUGAGUGAAGAAGGGUUUCGGCUCGUAAAACUCUGUUGUUAAAGAAGAACAUAUCUGAGAGUAACUGUUCAGGUAUUGACGGUAUUUAACCAGAAAGCCACGGCUAACUACGUGCCAGCAGCCGCGGUAAUACGUAGGUGGCAAGCGUUGUCCGGAUUUAUUGGGCGUAAAGCGAGCGCAGGCGGUUUUUUAAGUCUGAUGUGAAAGCCUUCGGCUCAACCGAAGAAGUGCAUCGGAAACUGGGAAACUUGAGUGCAGAAGAGGACAGUGGAACUCCAUGUGUAGCGGUGAAAUGCGUAGAUAUAUGGAAGAACACCAGUGGCGAAGGCGGCUGUCUGGUCUGUAACUGACGCUGAGGCUCGAAAGUAUGGGUAGCAAACAGGAUUAGAUACCCUGGUAGUCCAUACCGUAAACGAUGAAUGCUAAGUGUUGGAGGGUUUCCGCCCUUCAGUGCUGCAGCUAACGCAUUAAGCAUUCCGCCUGGGGAGUACGGCCGCAAGGCUGAAACUCAAAGGAAUUGACGGGGGCCCGCACAAGCGGUGGAGCAUGUGGUUUAAUUCGAAGCUACGCGAAGAACCUUACCAGGUCUUGACAUACUAUGCAAAUCUAAGAGAUUAGACGUUCCCUUCGGGGACAUGGAUACAGGUGGUGCAUGGUUGUCGUCAGCUCGUGUCGUGAGAUGUUGGGUUAAGUCCCGCAACGAGCGCAACCCUUAUUAUCAGUUGCCAGCAUUAAGUUGGGCACUCUGGUGAGACUGCCGGUGACAAACCGGAGGAAGGUGGGGAUGACGUCAAAUCAUCAUGCCCCUUAUGACCUGGGCUACACACGUGCUACAAUGGAUGGUACAACGAGUUGCGAACUCGCGAGAGUAAGCUAAUCUCUUAAAGCCAUUCUCAGUUCGGAUUGUAGGCUGCAACUCGCCUACAUGAAGUCGGAAUCGCUAGUAAUCGCGGAUCAGCAUGCCGCGGUGAAUACGUUCCCGGGCCUUGUACACACCGCCCGUCACACCAUGAGAGUUUGUAACACCCAAAGUCGGUGGGGUAACCUUUUAGGAACCAGCCGCCUAAGGUGGGACAGAUGAUUAGGGUGAAGUCGUAACAAGGUAGCCGUAGGAGAACCUGCGGCUGGAUCACCUCCUUUCUAAGGAA